CUUUCUGUGGCGUCACAGUUAAGGAUAACCGUAGCUGAGGGUGAGCAAGAUGAGGGGAGGGGACGCCAACCAGGUGGCUGGAAUUGGAGAUGAGAGAAGAUGCAGUAGAUGAAAAACGAAGCAAGGAGUGGUAAGCCACACCAAAUAUCUUUGGACAAGCUGGGGCCCCAGCUACGCCUGAAACCCAGAUCUCUUGACUUCAGAUGCAAGGGGCCUUGUCCUGAAAAACUUUCCAAGGCUAAACCAGCCGGAGCAAGCCUGAUGGGCCAGCCAUUUCAAUUCUGUGAGGGGGCUGCUAUCUGCAGCCUCAGGUGUGAGGGCAGCUCCCUGUAGACCAGACAUCACCGACCAGGACAAGCAAGUGCUGGGGCCAGAACCACAGAGGUUGGCCCGCUCCUGGCUAGAAUGCAGCCCCUGUAUGUUUGGUGGGUGUCAGCACACACAACUGGCCUUCAGGAGAGAAACGCCAUGAAUCAGCUCACUCACAACCCCUCCUUCCUGUCUUAACUGUGUCGCCAGUGUCUGCCACAAGUAAGAGCAAAGCAGGCAGAACAAGCCUGGUACCCCUCUAUUUCUGUGACUCCUCCAUUGGCUGCACACUCUUCAUGCCUCCUCUCCCAUCUCCUGAUUCCCUCGGAGCCAGCCUCCCACGCACCCAGAUGAGAAAACUGAGCACAGAGAGGCUGAGUAACUUGCCCGAAGAUAGUAGCUGGCGGAGCUGAGAUUUGAAUCCCAAGAGGCUGAUUUCAAAGCUUCGUUCCUGCGGUAGACACUGCUGGUGGCCCCUAUAUCCUUUCUCUCCUUCUUCCUGAGUAACAGAACACCCAUUGCCUCUUAGAGCCUUCUUACAGCUGGAUGUGUCCCUAUGAAUAAGUUCUGCUGACUGCAAUAUAAAUGGCAGAGUGAUGUGGGAACUCUGGGAAGUUUCCUUCACAAGGAGAAGUCAUGUACUUUUUUCUUCUCCUCCCUGUUUGGAAUGUGGAUGUGAUUGCUGGAACUCCUGAAGCCAUUUUGGACUAUGAAGUAACCUUGAGAAUGUCAAAUUGGAGAGUUGGAAAGAGCCAAGGUCACUAGUGAUGUCACACAUCUGUCUUUCCAGCCCUGAUUGGUCUAACUUUUAUGCUUUGGGGUGGAAAUAAACUUUCAUCUUAUUU